UCCGGCUUAGUCCGGAGGGAUUGCCCGCCCACCAGCAUUAGGGGCUGGUGGGAAUGAAACACUCAAAAGUUUAAAUAACCCAAAUCACCUCCUCGGGGACAAAUGAGUCUCCACUAUAUCUACUAUUAUACUUUCAAUUCCAAAAGAUGAUUUAGAAAUAACGCCCAGUUUUUUAAUACUAAUAAUAAAAUAGGAAGAUGGCGUUCUUGAAAAAGAAAAAUACAACUGGAAGCCGCUUUUGGAAAAAAUUAACGAAAGAAAAAGAUCAUUGGCUACAAGCUGUCAAUAUUUACUUCAGCAUCAUAAAACACUGUUUUCUAAUGAUAAUGUCUCUCAUCAAAAUUAUGAUUGUUUUGUGUCUAUAGAGAAUAGUUACUCAAAAUCAGUUAUCUGCGAUGCAACUGGUCUAACUAAGCUGCUAAUUUGUCCAUCUUCUUUGCAUGGAGAUUCUAUUACGUGUUCCGUGUUAAAAACAGAAAACGUUAAAGUGGACGAUCUGCUUCAUACAAAUAAUACUUUUUUAGUUAUUCAACAUCCGUUUAAACGGAUUGUUUCGUUAUUUAAAAGUCUAAUUUUAAGCAGAAAAGACGAAGUACAAAAACUGUAUAAAGAUGGUGCCAAGGACGAAUUGCUUUUUGUAAAUUUCGUUGCAUUUAUCUUGUAUGAAAAUCAAGAUAAUAAUAAAUGGAUAGCUAUACAGAAGGGCUGUUCUGUUUGCAGCACAACAUUUGACUGCAUUAUUAGCAUGGAGAAUAUACAGGAAGAAAAGGACUAUUUUCUCUAUAGAACAACUGGAACCGAACCACCUUAUCAUAGUAUAGAUAAUUUGGAAAUGUUAGUUCCCAGUGAUUUUGAAGUUGAUUUUUAUAUCUCUAAACUUCCAAAAUUCGCAAUUUUACAAUUGUAUCAACUCUUUAGGUUAGAUUUCGAACUGUUCCACUACAGAUUAAAUACAUAUUUAUCCAUGGGAAUCGAGUACGACUAUUCAUCAAACGAAACCGUUUAAAAAACCACUGCUAUAAAACCCACCGACUGAAAAACUUUUGUAUAUUUAUUAUUUUGUUGUCAUUUCUUCCCCAACAAUUGUAUCAAGUAAGAAAUCAGGCUACGUAUUGAGCAAAAAUUUUAAUGUAUGUAUUAACCUAACCCUGAAUAUGCCUCAUAAUAGGCGAAACGUAGGUUGACGGUCUCAUAAGUAGCUUCAUUUUUAACUUCCCAUUAGGAAGUUAUUGUAAUUGGGUCGAAAAGUGAAAUCGGAAUUUUCAUUAUAUUUCCACGU